UACAGAGACCUCAAACGUUGUCCGGAUUCAUUGGGCGUAAAGCGUCCGCAGGUGGUUUUGCAAGUCAUUGGUCAAAUCCUGGGGCUUAACUUCAGGACUGCUGGUGAUACUGCAAAACUCGAGGUUGGGAGAGGCAAGCGGAACUAUCGGUGUAGUCGUAAUAAGCGCUGAUAUCGAUAGGAACACCAAAGGCGAAGGCAGCUUGCUGGAACAUACCUGACACUCAUGGACGAAAGCGUGGGGAGCGAAUCGG
rnacentral:misc_RNA from 1 species